GCGGUGAUUCGUCAUCUCGGACUGGAGCAGGAAAACAUGAAGCAGUUUAUAUCACUGGAUGUGAUUAUGAGGAGAUUAAAGACACUCACAAACAAUUACCCACAAACCCCUCUGAUUCAUCUGCUUACUCUACAGUUCAGGCUCAACUACCCACAAACCCCUCUGAUUCAUCUAACGCUGUUUAUGCCACUGCUCAAUUACCCACAAACCCCUCUGAUUCAUCUAACGCUGUUUAUGCCACUGCUCAAUUACCCACAAACCCCUCUGAUUCAUCAGCUUACUCUACAGUUCAGGAAGCCUCUGGUGACUCUCAGAUCUUCAUCACAUCUGCUGAGGAUCUGAAUUACACCGUGGUGAAUUUCCAGAAGAAAGCAGACUGUCCUGACAGAGUCAGUUUGACGAAUAAUCAGGAUUACAGUGAAUACGCUGCUGUCAAUCAUCUCACGAGCGACAGCAGACAAUCUCAAUGAGCUGAAGACUUUGACUUUUGAUUUUGGGUUUAAGUGUCAAUGUUUGGUAUUUGUGUUAUUUACGUGGUUCUCUUCUGCUGUAUAUUUAAGACAGUCCUGUAAGUCAGACAUGAAGGAUGUUUAAAGAUGCAGUGUUUUGUUCUGACACUCAAAUAAAUGAUCACAAACCCUUGAGUUUUUGGUCAGCAUUUGAUGUAAAUAAGUACUGAAUGUUUCAGAACAGAAGUGUGAAAUUAAAGUAGAAGCAGUACUCAUUUAGUUUGGUUAUCGUCAAACUACACGCUUGGUCACUAACGGUUUUUGUAAAAAAAAAUAAUAAUAAUUAUUAAGACUCAGUGUUAAAAGGCUCACAAAAUUUAAAACAGGAAGCAACUGUAUAUAUUUUUUUUCUCAGUGCUUAUUUUAAAAGCUUUAUAAAAUAAAAUGUAAUAAACCUAGAUGAAGUCAUGAUAUUGUAUGCAAAUAUGAUAUGAAUGGGUUAUGAAAAUCUGAAAUGACAUAAAUGCACAACUUCUCUCCCCUGACUGAGGUGAAGUGUAAGUUAUUUUGAUUAAAGUUAACCAGAUUACAUGAAUAAAAAAAUUUAUGUGCUCAGGUAAAUCAUUUAUAAUAAAAACUGUAAUGUUCAAUAAAAAAGCAAGAACUGGUUUUGAUUUCACAGCUAUUUUAAUAAAUCAUCUAUGAGCUCAUUGUCACGUUCUUGUGAAGGGAGGUGCACGAAGAUGAAGGUAAUCCAUAUAACAUUUAAUAGUAAUCCAAGAUGAUGAAAAUUCAUACACAGCACAGGGUAACACAAUCAACAUACACACCUAUAAUAACCAAC
rnacentral:lncRNA from 1 species